UAGAUAAGAUCAUUAAGGGUCUUGUCAUAGUCUGUUUCAUAGGUGUCCCAAAGGAACUCACUAUGUGACUUAGAAAGUGGUUGAACCACCAACUUUCUCAAGACUUUGACACCCAACUCUCCCGGCUUGUCAAUAUGUGACUACAUCUCCAAGAUGUGACCACACCUAGACCUUGCCUUGCCAAUAGGGCCUGAGUGACCUUAAACUUUUCAAGAACUUGUGGGUUAGGGAGAAUAAUUUGAAGAGGUGAAGAAGUAUGAUAUCCAUGGGACAUCAUCUUCAUUAGGAAACCUUGUUUCAAGAGAUUUGGGAAGAUCAUAGGUGUCUAAACCAGACAUCUUUUGGGAGAUAUUCAAGAUAGUUGAUUUAAAGUCCUUAAUAUGACACCCAAUAUGAAAUAUUAAGGCUAGGACCCAACAAACUAUUUUAUAACUUAGAAGAGGUAUGCCGUAAUCCAAGCUAUAAAAUAUUUGAAGGUAGGUGAAUGACGAUUCACCAAUUUCCACCAAGAUAAACGAAAUGUAUUAUUAGGUUUUAAUUGGUUUUGAAACUCCUAGAUCUUUGAGAUUCAUUGAACUUUUCAAAGGCAUGUUUCAAUCUCGAGUGUGCCCUUCAGGUUUUGUGACUGGGAUGCCGAGGAUCACAAAACAAGGUGUGAAGUAACCAUGCAAAUCACUUGGUACCCUUAAUAAAUUACCCCUCAAUCGAUGUGCCGGUUAACCACACACGCUCCAUCGAUACUAUGAUAAAUAUUAAGUCACCCUUUACCUACCUUGUUAAGUCCAAGUUAGUGUGCCGGUUAACCACACACGCUCCACUAACGACUUAGACAAAGUGUAAAGUGUAAUUUCAUGGAUUAGCACCUUAUUCACAUUUUUCCUAAGUAACUAAGAUUGGGUAUUAUUAAGAGUUUAGUUACUUAGUAUUAUCAUUAAUACUUUUAAUGAAGGGAGAAUUCUAGUCCUGUCAAACCCGUUCGGCUAACGACCCUCCACCAGUCAAGCAAGCGGUGGGUGAGAGUGGACACCCAUUAAGUUGCCAUUUUAUAGGCAACAACCUUAUACCCACCUUAUAGACCGGCUUCGUGAAUGAGGCGUACUAGCGGUAAGACUGACUUUACUCUUAUACAUAUAUAUAUUAUUAACUUAUAAUAUUAUAAAGUAUAAGGGUUGAAUUUUAACUUUUAAAAUUCUAAGGGCUAACUUGGAAUUAAAGUAUUCAUACUUGAAAACUUUUCAAAUUCCAAAACUUGAGGGCAAGUUUUGAAACUAUUCAAAACUAAUUAAUUCCAUAACUUAUGUGUUUAAAGUAGUUUUAAUCCAAAAACUCUUCAAGUUCCAUAACUUGAGGACAAGUUAUGGAAGACUUUAAACUAAUAAAAGAACUAACUUUUUCUUUAUUUUAUAACUUAUGGAUUUAAUUAUGGUUACAUAUUUUUCUUUAAUGAAGUGACUCUUGAACUUCCAUAACUUGAGGACAAGUUAUGGAGUCAAAAAAAAUUAUUCAAUGACACAAGACUCUUCAUUUUGUAACCAUUGCCAACUUUUAUGAGUUUUAUGAGUCUUUAAUGUGACUCUUCAUGUAACUUGAGGACAAGUUACACAAACACAUUUUAUACUCAACUCUUAGAUUAAAAUGGAUUGAAAACAACUAUUUCACUCAACAUUUCUAUUAAUCUAAGCAACUCAUAAGAACAAGAUAAUUCAAAUCAAACUUUUUCAUGUAAUUAGUCUAAACCUUAAACUAAUACAAAACAUGAAUCUAUUGACAAUUAUCUUUGAAAAUGGAUUAGCAUGAACAUUACCACAUCAAAAACAAGUUUAUAAGUUCAAAAACAACUUAGGGUAAUGUUCCUAGUCCAUUUCUAGCCAAAAAACUCGAAAAUAUGCUGUCUGGGGGUCCAACUCGUCGAGUGCAUGAACAAACUCGGCGAGUUGGAUCGAAUUCAUCACUUUUUAGGCAUGGACUCGUCGAGUCUCCUGAUGGACUCGCCGAGUCUGAUGGCCAGACAGCACCAGAUUCGUUUUUUCAGCUUCUAUUGCAGGUAUAACAAGAAAACAAGCCUAGGCUCUGAUACCACUGUUGGGUUUUGAGCAUUCUAACACUCCUAAGUGUACAUGCAACCCUAAAUACCUUGGAUCUAUGUUUUCUCUAUUAUACAUGCAAAUAAGAACUUCCAAGGUAUUAUCCUAAUCUAGCAUACAAAACAAUGACUAUAACAAGAUAGAAUACAUACCUCUUUGAUGUAGAAAGUCUUCAUGAAGCUUGAGUGCCUAGUGCCCCAAGUGUGACACCUCAAAUGGAAUCACAAUCAUCAAAACACUUGGAAUGACUUGAGAGAAUUCUACACUCUUCAAAAUCGGCUAGCCCUUUCUUCACUAUCACUAGUGGCCGAUUUUUCCUCAAUAAUAAGAUGCUUAUAUAGUUACACAAUUAGGGUAAACUCUUAAUUGUCAUGGCUUUCCAUUUCCUUGGAUCCAUGGGUACAAAUACACCAUGGAGCAUCCAUGGACCAUCCUAUGGGUUUUAGCCCAACUUGAUUAUCCAUGGAGCAUUAGCCCACUAUACAAGUAUGGAUGAUUUACACAAUCAACCCAUAUAUUUAAUUAGUCUUCUUUUGAUCACUUAAUUAAUCCUAGAUUAAUUCUUGAUCAAUACUAAUUAAAUAAUCUUAUUAUUCUUAUUAUUAAUAUACUAGAACUUAUAAUAUAUUAAUAACCAUAAGUGUCUUAUUUCUCUCAUUAUAGUCUAUCCAAGUGCAUGAUGGUAUGCAACCCAAAUGGACCAUGCCGGGUCGGGUCAAGUCUUACCAAUUAUAGUUAUGGACUUAGACAUUAAUCCAACAGUCUCCCACUUGGAUAAGUCUAAAACUAUUAUUGCGUAUGACUUCAGGAACCAACUGGCAAUCGUAGCUCUCAAAAGCUUCUGUCGAACUCUGACCUUGUAGAUGAACUCUGACCUUUGUCAAUGACUUGUCCAUUAGAUAAGGGAUCAUAUAUUCCUCCAUUCUAGAUAUCAUAUGGACUGAGACAUGGAUUAUAAUCAUUCUCUCUGUCCAUUUGUUGUUUCCCGAUUUCCGAUUUAUGACGACUGACUAAUUGAACAAAUCAAAUCAGUCCUGGCCCGGCCGAGCACUUCCAUUUGUCAUCAUCAAAUCAUCGAGGGGCCCACAGAUAUCGCUUUUAUCCCGAAGGUAAAAGGAACGGAUAAACUUCGACUCAUAUGGCUUGUUCUACUACUUGUUGAAUCAUACACAAAGGCACGUUUUAUAGCACCGAGUUACCAAAUGCGUUUUCGUGCAAUCAAUGUACUAUCAACUCAUAGUAACAACUCAUAUCUCUAGGUUUGAAGAAUAUAAGAUAUUAUCGUCUCAUGAUCACUCGUGAUAAAAUCCAUGAAGUGAUUCCAAUGAGCGCGGGUUGAAUCCAAUACUCAGAACUUAUGAGCACUCAUGAGUGUUGUAGCCCUUUGUCCAACACCUUAGACCUCUACAAGCCAACCCAUGACAGUCUUAAUUCAUAUCUACUUCCAACAUAUGACCGACUGUGGAUGGUUUGAAUAACUUAGUCAUUCCGGAAGAAUAACCCAGUUUAUUCGGGAAGUCAAAACAUGCAAAAUGAAACACAAUAAUAAUUGAAUCCAAUAUGGUAUCAACCCUUUGAACAUAAAUAAAACACCUUUUAUUUAUCACCAUAUGAUUACACAUUAUUCAUUGUAUACUGUUUCAGCUAUCAACUUUAUUCUUGAAUUUAAAACAAUAGUUGUCCCAUGCUCCAAGCAUGUACACUAUGUUUUCUUAAACACUAGUCAUGCCACACACCAAGUAUGCAUACUAUGUUUGUCUAUGAUCUUUACUUUGUGAACUAGAUCAAUUGAACAUAACUUCAAUGAUUCUCUUUUCACACUCCCAAAUCCUUACUGCAAAUGCAAGAAUUCCAAAUUCAUGCCAUUUACUGAAAUCUGUUAGAUUCUAAACUUAUAUGCAUUGAUCCUCUUGUAAUGAUUAUGCACAAAGUCACAAAGACUUGGCAACAAUCAUUACAGAGUAUUCCAAAGGAGAUCAACUCCUUGGAAAUAUCCUUCUUGCAUUAAGUUUCCUUAAUCUUACACAGAUUGAAAAUUCUAACUUUGAAACAUUUCCAGAUUCCAUUUUGACUAUCACUUCUGAACAAGAGUUGCCUCCUUACAGAUUAUGUCAAUAUGGUCCUUCCAGAAUUAUCACUAUACUUCCAACUGUCCUUGAGCAACCAAUCUUUGGUAAACCUUAGAUUGUCCUCGACAAUUGUUUAAUCCUUUUAGUCAUAUCCAGUUCUAAACCUUUUCCCUUCUUAAUGCCCCAGGCAUUUGGAAAAUUUUAGAACGGAUGAAUAUAGCACAUGUAAUCGAUCCUAUAUCCGAAGCAUAUGGGACACGAUUCAUGAUGUCUCACAUAAAGACUAAACCAGUCUUUUGCUAUAAUAUUUCCAUUUCAAUUUGCCAAGUUCUCAUAAUUCAGAUUAUGAAAAGGGAUGCCGUAAUCAUAAUCGAAUUUUAGAACGCAAAUAAUGGACCCAUAUACAGAAUUUCCUUAUGUUGAGCCAUUCCAACAUGAAAUUCAUAUAUAUCCUUGACUAAAUGAUUAAAACCUCACGAUCUAAGCUUAUAGAUUUGAGAUGAAGUAUAAUUUCCUCUCCCUUAAUUAUAGCAAAACAACUCUUUCCCAGUUGAAACUUUUGUUUUCUAUAAUUAACAUUGCUAACUUGCAACCUUUAUCAUAAUUAUCAUGCUCCCACUAACAUGAUGAUUAUUAGCAUAACACUUAUGCUCCCACUAGCUUUGACAUAUACUCAGAAAUCAGCUGACUUUCUUACCAAAGUUCAGAUUUCUGAUACUAGAUUGUUUUGAUAAAACUUUAUCAAAAUCAUACACCUCUUUUAGAUAGCUCACAGGUGUGUCUAAACAAUUUUAGAACUAUGAAAAGGGAUGCCGUAAUCAUAGUCUCAAUUGUUUAGACCUUUUUGCCACUUCUCACAAGUCCAUGUUAGUGUGCCGGUUAACCACACAGCUCCACUAACGACUUUGAGAAUGCAAAUAUCACAAUUGUUAUCUACUUCAAAUCUACUUGGUGGAAGUGUUUCCUCACCAUCAUUUUCAUGAAUCGGAGAGAAACCUUAUGACCCUUAGAUUUAAUGGUGUAUGUGUUCUUAUCCAUGUGAAUUGUCAAAACCAUAGUCACAAGACAAGGAUAAUGACAAAUCCAAACUCAUAUGNUCAAUCUUAACUUCUUGCCACCUGGCAGCUCAAGGGCCUGCCAUUGCUUCCAAGUUUUGUGCAAACAAUUGAAAACUCCAAGAACUCAUAUGAAAAACCAACUUAAACUAGAAUGGGCACAGAAUAUGUCAACACGAUAGGUUAUAAAACCUCAGGUCGUGUGCUAGUGAAGAACUUCAGGUUUUAUUCUAAAUUAGUUCUUGAGACUUUCAAGACCUUAAAGACUCCCAUUGUCCUCUUGACAUACAAGACUUUCUUGUCAGAUAUUCAAGAGAUAGUGUGGAUUCUAAUCAAGACAAGCACUUCACACAAUUGGCCUUAGUUGGUCUUUGUUUUAUCCAAAACAUCACAACUUACCAAUUUCAAAUGUACAAGAGUAGAAAACUUUUACUCUUACAUUUGACAAGUGUUUUAAACCUUCUUUAAGACAUGUCACUCAAGUUACAAUCUUAGAGUAUGACUCUAAGACUUGUAUUGGAACGAAGUAUGACUCAUCUUCUUGAUUUAACCAUUUCAACAAUUCAAGUUCCUCUUCUUAGUCAUAAGAAUGCACUAAGAUUUCCUUAGAGAACUAAUUUUGAUAUGGUUUCUUAAUCAUUAAGAUGAUCACAAAACUGAUACUAAAGUACUCUCCCAUCUUUUCAGAUUUGAGAAACUUUUAUCCUUCUGCCUAAUUUGAUUCUUCUUAUUCGCUCUGCCAUACAUUGGAACCUUUUCCAAUGUCUCAGAGUUACACUUAAGCUUGUAAGUAUAAUCAUAUUUACUGAGCUUUAGUAAACUAUGACGAAUAGUCUUAUCAAUCUUUUGUGGUGGACUUAAUCAGUGCACAAGAAUGUGUACUCGAUCCCUUAGUCCUUUACUUGACUCACACAUCCAUGUGGCCGAGUAAUUAGUCUUAAUUUUCCAAAACUUGAAAGUUCUCAUUCAUCAUGCUAUACAACUUGCAUGAUUCCAAGUUCCGGUCCAAUUGAAACUUGGGUGAUGAGAAUCUUUCCUUAUUUGGUAAAUCUAGACAUUACCACAAAUGAAAGAAUCAAUUUCAUAUUUCCACUCUUGCUAUUAAUGGAAUCAUAUAAGCAACAAUUUUUCCUCAAAUGCCAUUGUAAGGAUAUUUUAAAAUAAAUAAAAUCAAAAAUUUUCUUUUAUUUUAAAACUUUGCGGAAAAACUUAUCCUUACAAUCCAUAUGAAAACUUGUUGUUAUCUAUUCCUAAGCAAUAUCUCAUAACUCCUAAGAAGUUGCUCAAGAAUCCGAUCUUCAAACUAUGCGAUAGAAAUCCAUCUACGCCAUCAGAUUCAGCAUAUUCUUUCUUUAAGUUUCUUCACUUUUCUUUGAUUCUUAAAACAUCACCAUGUGACCCAGUCACAUCAUGUAUCAGGAAUCUCAGAAUAGAAACUUAACAGAGUUAGAUAGUGGACUUUACCUGAAGUAGAGUCAAACUUAUUGACUUUAACAUCCUUAGGUAAAUUUGGCAGCUUCGCAACCAAUGCCCCUUCCUUUGGCAAUAUAAACAUAUGGACCCUUUGAUAAUGGUACACGAGACUAUCACAGACUUAGCUUUUCUCUUUACCAUUUGGUCAACCGAGUUGACUAUGGCCGAUCCCUUUCCAUUGGGAAGAGAAUGCUUUACUGGAUAUCCAAUGUCAUCAUUGUCAAUGUCCAUAAAGUUUUAGGAAGUUGAUUUUAGCAAAUAAAUAAGAUCAUUGAGGGUCUUGUCAUAGUCUAUUUCAUAUGAAUCCCAAAAGAACUCACUAUGUGACUUAGAAGGUGAUUGAGCCACCAACUUUCUCAAGACUUUGACACCCAACUCUCCCGGCUUGUCAAUAUGUGACUACAUCUCCAAGAUGUGAUCACACCUAGACCUUGCCUUGCCAAUAGGGCUUGAGUGACCUUAAACUUUUCAAGAACUUGUGGGUUAGGG
rnacentral:lncRNA from 1 species